AAACUAAAAUUUAAAUAUUUUCAGAAAUAACUAAAUUUAUUUACCAGCCAUUUUUUUAAGUUUUAGAAAUUUUAAAAUAAAAAAAUUCACCGAACUACCUAGUAUGGCGACUGCUACUUCUGCUAACCACAUUUUGUGUCUUAUCAAACUAUGCAGACUAUGUGGAAAUUAUAUUGGAACUGACUCAUUUAAUGUAAUAAAUAUAAUAGCAAGAGUUGACCAAGCAUUUUUUACCGAGGUAGGAGAAGACAGAACGAAGAUCCACCCACCAAAAAUUUGCAUGAAAUGUUAUACAUUAAUGAGACAUAUUGAACAGCGAGGAACGACCUCUUUUAAUUUCAUUUUAACAAGCUGGCCGCAUACGUGCUCACUUGAAAGCUGUAUAUGUUUUUUAAAGAAAUCUGGCAGAAAGAAAAAGAAACCAUUUGGAAGACCACCAUCAGUUAAUAAAGAUGUUUGGACAAGGAAAUCAAUUAAUGAAAUAUUAGACAGUUUUUCUGAAAUGCCUCGCUUAUACUAUGAGUCUAUCAGUAUAGUUAAUAACCCCCACAAAGAUUUAUGCAUCUGCAAGAUUUGUAAAAGAAUAUUUCAUCGACCUGUUUUACUUAAUAACUGCCAACAUUUAUUUUGUGCUUCAUGUAUUUUUCCAAAUUUAGUUGGAAAAUUAGAGACAGAAGCAAAAUGCAAGUUAUGUGGCUCUAAUAUAUCUUUAGAUAACAUUUCAAAAGCAACAACUAUGCAAAAUAUCCUUGAAAAUAUAGUUCUAAAGUGUUCCGAAAAUUCAUGCAAAAGUAUAAGCAAUAAGGAAGAACAUGAACAAGUAUGGAAAAGUGGAAAGAUAUUACCCCAAUGUUUAGCAUCGUCUUCUUCUUCAUUGACAGUAACAGAUAUUUACAAAAUUAAUACAAAUAGUGAUAUUCCUAAAGAACUAGAAUAUGCAUUUGCUCACUUUGCAAAGCUAAAAAUGGCAAAAAACAAUUCACAUUCAUUUGAACUUCCUUCUGGCGGUCCAAGGGCUACACAGUUUUCAGUGACUACAAAGAGCUUUAAAACAUCAACUGAGAUUAGUCAGAAAACCAUUUAUAGACGUCAAAAGCAACUCCACCAAUCGCUAAUAGAUAAUGCAGGACCAACAAAAAAGGCAAAAAUACAACAAGUAGCACUUAUGCUCAAUUCUUUUAAUAAAAACGAUAAAAUUGAUAUUCUAAAAAAAUCAAAUCUCUCCCAAGUUGAGAUAGGACCAGAAGAUAUUGUAUCACUUAAAGCAGACUGUGGUUUACCUUGGGAAAAGAUGAAAAAAAUGAUAAGAUUUUUCCAGACAAAAAAUGUCAAAUUACCCUCACUUUCUAAUCAACGAAAAGUUGCAAAAUAUUGGUCAGGUAACGAUUUGAUUGUUGAAGAUAAAGAACUGCUGUUUAAAUUAAAAAACAAAAAAGGAACUUUUGAAUUGAAAGAUACACCUACAGCAUAUAUUAAUGAUUUGCCAUCACAUUUAAUUAAGGUACUGGAUCAGUUAGAAAGAUAUAACCAACUAACAUUUGAAAAGAUAACUCCUAGUGAAAUACAUAUAAAGAUUGGUGGUGACCACAGAGGUGGUUCAUUUAAAAUGAGCUAUCAGGUAGCUAAUGUUGCUACACCCAAUUCAAAAAAUAAUACGACUGUUUUCAAUAUAUUUGAGGCCAAAGAUUAUAGAGCAAACCUCAAAAUUUCACUCUCAAGACACAUAGAUGAAAUUGCUUCAAGCAAUGAAAUGGAGGGAAAAAUGUUUGCGUGUAUUUAUAUUUGGUGAUUAUGUAUUUUUGUGUGCUAUUUAUGGCAUCACAGGAGCAACUGGUCGUCAUUGCUGCUUAUUCUGUGAAAUCACAUCAAGUGAAAUGCAAUUGAACAUUGAAGCUAGAACGCGACCGAUUCUUUUGAGAACGCUUGCAACUUUAAAAUCAGAUUAUGAACGAUUCAAAAAUGAUGGAGGCAAUAUUAAACGUGCAAAGAAUUUCAAUAAUGUAAUUGAUGAGCCGUUAUUUGAUAUACCAAUUGAACAGGUGUGUGUUAAUUGUUGCCAAAGCAUUAAUGCCAGUAAUAUAAAUAUAAAUGCAGGUCUGUGGUUAGGCUACCCCAAACCAGGGGCAGCAAAUUGUAGAGGCCCCUUUCCACAAUUUAAGUAGCUUAAUUUAAGUAGUAUUAAAUUUGAUUUUUUAUUUUUUUAGAAAUACAUUAAAUAAUUGAAUGUUUUGAAGAUUUUAUUGUUAUUAAGAUUAAGAUUGAGGCUGUGUUUUUUUAGAGGGGGGGGGGUCCUCUAGGGGAGUCAGAAAGAAAAAUGAAAAAAAAAACUGAAAUGAUGUAAAAGAAGAGGAGUUGAUUAAAGAAAACCGUCAUUCACCGUCAACCAUCAAUUAGAUGUUCUGAAGUAAUCAAAUACUUUUGGACAAAUAGAAUCUCUUUCUUCUAUCAAGUUACUCAACAGAAUCAAUCUGCAUUUUGCUUCGCAUUUUUAAUACGAUCCCGGCUUCAGUGACUGAAGGAGAGCGCCCUUUCAAUAGCAAUACCAGCUCUACACAUCUUAUUGGGAAUAUUUCUAAAAUUCUUCAAAAUGUUAGAGGUAGAAUGUCAUCUCCUUGAUAUCAAACUAGCUGGAUUUCUAGCAAUAAAUGAUAAACACCUUGAAUCAA